UUGCUUCAGCAGCACAUAAACUUAAAUUGGAAUGAUACAAAGAAGAUUAGCAUGGCCCCUAUGCAAGGGGUGGUAAAAGGGAAAGGGGAAGAACAAGUAGUGAUG